GAGUUUGAUCGUGGCUCAGGACGAACGCUGGCGGCGUGCUUAACACAUGCAAGUCGAACGGUGAUCCCUGGCUUGCUGGGUGAUCAGUGGCGAACGGGUGAGUAACACGUGAGUAACCUGCCCAUGGCUCUGGGAUAACCUGGGGAAACCGAGGCUAAUACCGGAUAUGACGCGCACAGGCAUCUGUUGCGUGUGGAAAGUUUUUCGGCCAUGGAUGGGCUCGCGGCCUAUCAGCUUGUUGGUGGGGUAAUGGCCUACCAAGGCGACGACGGGUAGCCGGCCUGAGAGGGCGAUCGGCCACACUGGGACUGAGACACGGCCCAGACUCCUACGGGAGGCAGCAGUGGGGAAUAUUGCGCAAUGGGCGAAAGCCUGACGCAGCGACGCCGCGUGAGGGAUGAAGGCCUCGGUUGUAACC
rnacentral:rRNA from 1 species